rnacentral:rRNA from 1 species
AACGCUGGCGGCAUGCCUAACACAUGCAAGUCGUACGGUAACAGGCUCAGCUUGCUGAGUGCUGACGAGUGGCGGACGGGUGAGUAACGCGUAGGAAUCUACCUUAUGAUGGGGGAUAACCUGGGGAAACCCGGACUAAUACCGCAUAUACCUUGAGAGGAAAAGCCGGGGACCGCAAGGCCUGGCGUCAUAAGAUGAGCCUGCGUCAGAUUAGCUAGUUGGUGGGGUAAAGGCCUACCAAGGCGACGAUCUGUAGCUGUUCUGAGAGGAAGAUCAGCCACACUGGGACUGAGACACGGCCCAGACUCCUACGGGAGGCAGCAGUGGGGAAUAUUGGACAAUGGGGGCAACCCUGAUCCGGCAAUGCCGCGUGUGUGAAGAAGGCCUGCGGGUUGUAAAGCACUUUCAGUGGGGAGGAAGAUAUCAUGGUUAAGAGCUGUGGUAUUUGACGUUACCCACAGAAGAAGCACCGGCUAACUCUGUGCCAGCAGCCGCGGUAAUACAGAGGGUGCGAGCGUUAAUCGGAAUUACUGGGCGUAAAGAGCGUGUAGGUGGAUAAUCAAGUCGGAUGUGAAAGCCCUGGGCUUAACCUGGGAACUGCAUACGAAACUGGUUAUCUAGAGUGUGGCAGAGGAAAGUGGAAUUCCCGGUGUAGCGGUGGAAUGCGUAGAUAUCGGGAGGAACACCAGUGGCGAAGGCGACUUUCUGGGCCAACACUGACACUGAGACGCGAAAGCGCGGGUAGCAAACAGGAUUAGAUACCCUGGUAGUCCACGCCGUAAACGAUGAGAACUAGCUGUUGGGAUUUUUAAAAUCUUGGUAGCGUAGCUAACGCGUUAAGUUCUCCGCCUGGGGAGUACGGCCGCAAGGCUAAAACUCAAAGGAAUUGACGGGGGCCCGCACAAGCGGUGGAGCAUGCGGUUUAAUUCGAUGCAACGCGAAGAACCUUACCUACCCUUGACAUUCUUGGAAUCUCCCAGAGAUGGGAGAGUGCCUUCGGGAGCCAAUGAACAGGUGCUGCAUGGCUGUCGUCAGCUCGUGUCGUGAGAUGUUGGGUUAAGUCCCGCAACGAGCGCAACCCUCACUUUUAGUUGCCAUCAUUAAGUUGGGCACUCUGAAAGAACUGCCAGUGAUAAGCUGGAGGAAGGUGGGGAUGACGUCAAGUCCUCAUGGCCCUUACGUGUUGGGCUACACACGUGCUACAAUGGUAUCUACAACAGGAAGCAAGACGGCGACGUUAAGCAAAUCCUCAAAAGAUACCUCAGUUCGGAUUGCACUCUGCAACUCGAGUGCAUGAAGCUGGAAUUACUAGUAAUCGUGGAUCAGCGUGCCACGGUGAAUGCGUUCCCGGGUCUUGUACACACCGCCCGUCAC